rnacentral:misc_RNA from 1 species
AAUAUUAAAAAAAAAAAAAA